GAUGAACGCUGGCGGCGUGCCUAAUACAUGCAAGUCGAGCGAACGGACGAGAAGCUUGCUUUUCUGAUGUUAGCGGCGGACGGGUGAGUAACACGUGGAUAACCUACCUAUAAGACUGGGAUAACUUCGGGAAACCGGAGCUAAUACCGGAUAAUAUUUUGAACCGCAUGGUUCAAAAGUGAAAGACGGUCUUGCUGUCACUUAUAGAUGGAUCCGCGCUGCAUUAGCUAGUUGGUAAGGUAACGGCUUACCAAGGCAACGAUGCAUAGCCGACCUGAGAGGGUGAUCGGCCACACUGGAACUGAGACACGGUCCAGACUCCUACGGGAGGCAGCAGUAGGGAAUCUUCCGCAAUGGGCGAAAGCCUGACGGAGCAACGCCGCGUGAGUGAUGAAGGUCUUCGGAUCGUAAAACUCUGUUAGUAGGGAAGAACAUAUGUGUAAGUAACUGUGCACGUCUUGACGGUACCUAAUCAGAAAGCCACGGCUAACUACGUG
rnacentral:rRNA from 1 species